rnacentral:rRNA from 1 species
UACGAAGGGUGCAAACGUUGCUCGGAAUUAUUGGGCGUAAAGCGCACGUAGGCGGCUUGGCAAGUCGGAUGUGAAAUCCCUCGGCUCAACCAAGGAAGUGCAUCCGAAACUGCUGAGCUUGAGUACUUAAGAGGAUCGCGGAAUUCCCGGUGUAGAGGUGAAAUUCGUAGAUAUCAGGAGGAACACCGAUGGCGAAGGCAGCUCGCUGGGACGUGACUGACGCUGAGACGCGAAAGCGUGGGGAGCAAACAGG